GACAGAGGGUGCAAACGUUGCUCGGAAUUACUGGGCGUAAAGCGCGUGUAGGUGGAUUGGUGUGUCAGAUGUGAAAGCCCUGGGCUCAACCCAGGAACUGCACCUGAAACUACCAGUCUUGAGUGGUGGAGAGGGAAGUGGAAUUCCUGGUGUAGAGGUGAAAUUCGUAGAUAUCAGGAGGAACACCAGUGGCGAAGGCGGCUUCCUGGACUGGUCCUGACACUCAGGAGCGAAAGCGUGGGGAGCGAUCCGG
rnacentral:rRNA from 1 species